rnacentral:rRNA from 1 species
GUGAAGCGGGAAAAGCUCAAAUUUAAAAUCUGGUGGUCUUUGGCCAUCCGAGUUGUAAUCUAGAGAAGUGUUAUCCGCGCUGGACCGUGUACAAGUCCCCUGGAAUGGGGCGUCAUAGAGGGUGAGAAUCCCGUCUUUGACACGGACUACCAGGGCUUUGUGAUGCACUCUCAAAGAGUCGAGUUGUUUGGGAAUGCAGCUCAAAAUGGGUGGUAAAUUCCAUCUAAAGCUAAAUAUUGGCGAGAGACCGAUAGCGAACAAGUACCGUGAGGGAAAGAUGAAAAGAACUUUGGAAAGAGAGUUAAACAGUACGUGAAAUUGUUGAAAGGGAAACGCUUGAAGUCAGUCGCGUCUGCCAGGGAUCAACCUUACUUUUGUGAGGCGUACUUCCUGGUUGAUGGGUCAGCAUCAGUUUUGGUCGCUGGAUAAAGGUCAGAGAAAUGUGGCACCUUCGGGUGUGUUAUAGUCUUUGAUCAGAUACAGUGGCUGGGACUGAGGAACUCAGCGCCGCAAGGCUGUCUUAGGAUGCUGGCAAAAUGGCUUUAAUCGACCCGUCUUGAAACACGGACCAAGGAGUCUAACAUGCCUGCGAGUGUUUGGGUGGAAAACCCGAGCGCGUAAUGAAAGUGAAAGUUGGGAUCCCUGUCAUGGGGAGCACCGACGCCCAUACCAGAAGUUUACGGACGGAUAUGCGGUAGAGCAUGUAUGUUGGGACCCGAAAGAUGGUGAACUAUGCCUGAAUAGGGCGAAGCCAGAGGAAACUCUGGUGGAGGCUCGUAGCGAUUCUGACGUGC